rnacentral:tRNA from 1 species
GCUGAUGUAGCUCAGUUGGUAGAGCAGCUCACUCGUAAUGAGCAGGUCGGGAGUUCGAGUCUCCCCAUCAGCU